UCUCUCAAUUUCUUGUCCAUUUCCUAUUAAAUUUUCCCCGGGUGGUAGUUCCAAUUGAUUCCAAGUUACUUUAUCUUUUCACCUCUAUGUUUUAAUUUCAUGUCUUCUGAUGUGUAGCAGGUAGUGCUCUGUCCUGUCCUCUUUUGCCUUCAAAGGUUCCUGUCAAACGUUGGUUCAGUCCAUUAAAGGUUGUCUUGGUAUGGAUGCUAGUGGAAUUCUGUCAUCGAUGGCUGAACAAUUCAAAAAAAGUGUUCAGGGAAGCAUAAAUUCAAGAUCUAAAAAUCUCCGCCAAUUGACACCACACCAGUAAGAUCUAAUCUGAGUAUUAAGAUAGGUGGAAGAAAUUUUCUGGUAAAUUCAACACGUUGCUUUACUGAAUCAUGCAUUGCUGCUAUAAAUUGGAAUGUUGUUAAGAAUGUUCUCAUCACCACAUUCAUUUUCCUUCUUCACCUAAAUCUCCUAAUAAUGGUGAGUGGUUCUUCACAAUAUGGCGAACUCUCUGAUAUUAUAGGAAAAAUCAAAUCAACAACUUUGGAAGAAGGAGAAAAAAAUUAGAAGACUAAUAAGAUACCCAAAAAUCAAGCUUGAGAAGGGAAUUGAAAAAUGGGAGAAAAGCCUAAUUGGGAAAGUUUUCUGUGAAUUUCCAAUGAGUACUGACAAAGUGGAACUAGAAGUUACGCUCCAAUGGGGACAUGGUCAUUUUCAAAUUCGUAGGAGGGACACAAAUAUCUUCACUUUCAGGUUCUAUGAAUGAGAAGACUACAACAAUGUUCUAACUGGAGCUCCUUGGAAUGUGGAUGGUUAUCUAAUGGUCCUGAAGGAAUGGCACCCAACUAAUGAUCCAAGGAAUAUCGACUUUAGCAUUCAACAGUACUGGCUGGACAUCAAAAAGCUACCUCCAGAAUUCCUCAAUGCUGAAGUGGUUCAUCAAAUUGGCAGCAUAGCGGGCAAUGUUUUGAAGCUGGAACCAGAAGAUGGAAAUCCUGUGGAUACUAAUCAUAAAGCUAGCCAUGUCCAAACUAUAGAUGGCUAUAUUUUCAAGUUUGGAGAAGACUAUGGAGAAGUUAUUGAUCCAAGAGCCAACAAUCCAGUUUACGGCAUUCUUCUCCAAAAAAGAAUCUAAGGAAGAAGAAUAGUGCUAAGAGGGCUUUCGUUAUCCCCGAAGACGGUCAUCUGGUCUCUACAAUUUUUACUCAAGGCUCUUCAGGAGGUGCUGAAAGCUCAGGUGCUAGGAGAGGCAAAAGAUCAAGAAAUCAUGAACCUUCCUUCCAAGCUAGCAAUGAAGCCAGAAUUUUUAUCAUGAGAAUCAACAAUACUCGGCUUAUAAUAAAGUCGACACUAACAUCCAAAUGAAUUAUAUAGGGGACUGGGACAACUUUGUUCAGCAACAGGACAUGAACCAAGAAGAAGGGCAAGAGGGGCAGGUAAUACACAUCAUCUUUAUUCCUUAUCAUUAUUUCCAUAUCUAUAAUUUUUUUGUUGUUCAUCAAGACAGUUAUCUCUGCUUUUACUAUCAUAUUCACUCCCUUGAAAAUUUCCUUAAAAUGCAUGUUAACAUGAAUAUCCUGGCCUGGAAUGUCCAAGGAAUAGGUAGUAGCCCAACUAGACAUCACCUUAGAGAUUGCAUAAAAAACUAUAAUUCAGACAUAGUUUUCCUUUCUGAGACAUAGCUUACUUUAUAGAAUGGGUUAUCCUAACAUCUUAUGUCAAAGUUUUGUGGGUAAGUCUGGUGGCUUGGCUCUUCUGUGGAAAGACAAUACUGGUGUAACCAUUAAGGAGUAUGAUGAUAAUAUGAUGCAUAUGGAAGUUUGCUCUGGAUAUAGUCACAACAAAUAGUUUCUCACGUGUAUGUAUGGGUCUACUCACAAGGAAAUCAGGAAGAAGCAAUGGGACCAUAUACGGGAUAUGUGUCAGAAUAUGAAGAUGUCGUGGGUUAUUCUGGGAGAUUCAAACAUUAUUCUUAAUUGUUCAGAUAAACAAAGUUUCACCACUUUCACCAACCCAUCAUAUAAAUUUGUUUUUGAUACCAUAAACCAGCUUGGUCUCGCCGUUUACUUGGUCAAAUAGGAGAGAGUCCAAAAAACUGGUGAAAACAAGAACAGAUAGAGCCCUAGCUAACCCUCUCUGGUUUCAACACUUCCAAACAGCCAUUAUAAAGAAUCUCCUCCCAUUCGCCUCUGACCAUGCCCCAAUACUUCUGUCAACCCAGAAAUCAGAAAACCCCAUAAAAAGACCCCACCGUUUCUAUGAAGCAUGGAUUCAUGACCCAACUUUCAGAGAUACUAUCCUAACCAGCUGGAACUCUAUUCCAAUGAACAACGAUGAAAACCUUUUCACUCAGAAAUUACAGCAAACAACUGAAACUUUGAAAGAAUGGAACCAUGUUGUUUUUGGUCAUGUAAACACUGAAAUCAAAAAGCUGCAAAGGAAGAUAACUGAAGAGAAGAAGAAGAGCAGGCAGGACACUCACAAAAUUAAAACCUUAGAAGACUCUCUGAAUAUUUGGUACAAAAAGUGAGCUCAGAUCAUCUAUCAGCAGUCUAAAGAGAAUAUCCUCCGGAAUAAAGACAAGAACUCAAAAUAUUUUCAUCAAAGAGCAAACUACAGAAGGAGAAGAAACAAUAUAGACUCAUUACAAGACAGCCAAGGAAAUUGGGUCUCAAGAAGAAAAGAUCUUCAAGCCAUUAUAAACAACCAUUUUAGCUCCAUCACCACAACUUGUAACCCAAAUAUCAGUGAGGAUCUUCUAAAUCUCAUAAACCCAAGAGUCAGUGAAGAGAAAAACAAGAUGCUUACAGAAAUUCCUUAGCCAGAAUAAAUCAAGAACAUAGUCUUCAAAAUCAAAUCAUGGUCUGCACCGGGGCCGGAUGGGUACCAAGCAGGUUUCUAUCAGCAUACGUGGGAUAUUGUUGGAAGGGAUAUCAUAGAGUUGGUUCAUAUUUUUUUCAUUAAUGAAGUCUUCUUAUCUGAUUUGAAUGAUACUUAUCAAGUCUUAGUCCCGAAAAGGGAAUAUGUCAGCAAACCGGAGGAUUUCAGACCAAUUAGCUUAUGUAAUGUAAGUUAUAAAAUCAUCACAAAGCUGUUGUCUUCUAGACUAAGGUUAAUUCUUCCCAACUUGAUAUCUCCUUGGCAAGAGACUUUUAUUCUGGGUAGAAAUAUUCAUGAUAACACUAUAGUGGCUCAUGAGAUUGUGGACUACAUGAAGAAAAAAAGAGCAAAUGAUGGAGUUAUAGGUGUCAAAUUGGACAUGGCCAAAGCGUUCGACAAAAUGGAGUGGUGUUAUCUGGAAAAAGUUAUGUCAAAAAUAGGGUUUUCUUCAAAGUGGUGCAGAUUAAUCAUGAAAUGUAUCAGUUCUCCAAAAAUUUCUCUAAUGUUGAAUGGUGCUACUCUGCAAUCUUUCAACCCUUCAAGAGGGUUAAGGAAAGGCGAUUCGAUAUCACCGUAUAUCUUUAUUCUUGGUAUGGAAGGUUUUAGCAGAUUGUUGAGCAAUGCAGACAGAAGCUGAUAAUUCCAGUUUAACCAGCAAUUCAAGGGCCACAGAUUUCACAUCUAUUCUUCGCUGACGACUACUUCUUAUUUACAAAGGCAACAAGCAGAGCUAUAAACAACCUUAUGAGCAUCAUCAACAUUUUUUACUUCUUCAUCUGGUCAGUUACUAAAUCUUGAAAAAUCAAGUAUUUUCUUCAGUAGGAAUAUAAGCCCAGCUGAUUGUGAAAGGAUCUCAAGGGAAUUAAACAUGGCUUCUAUGGAUCUGGAUGAGAAGUAUUUGGGGGUGAAUCUUUUUACCUCAAAAAGAAGGGAGCAAUGUUUUAUCUCCUCCAAAGAGUAAAUGGAAUUCAGACUAAAAAUGGCAGGGUAAAUUUAUCAACCAAGCUGGCAGAACAACCCAAAUACAAGCUACUCUCAGUUCAAUUGCACAGCAUCAGAUGAGCAUCUUCUACAUUCCAGAUAAAAUGGCAAAACAAAUGGAUUCCAUUCAAAGAAAUUACUUCUGGAAAAAAGACAAAACUCAAGGUUUAUAUCCAAAGGCAUGGUCUGGGAUUUGUUCUUCUAAGAGAAAUGGUGGUCUGAGUCUAAAGGACACUAAAACUUUCAAUUUAGCUCUCUUAGCAAAAUUGGCCUGGAGAAUGCUAAGCGAGAAAAAUGCAAAAUGGAAUAACUUAAUUAGAGCUAGAUACUUCAGGAAUGAAGACCCUCUCUGUGAUACUUUGCAGAAAAGUGGCACCUGGAUUUGGCAAAGCAUUAAGAAAGGUUUAGAAGUGAUAAAGAAAUUCUAUAUCUGGGAAGUUGGGGAUGGUACCUCAAUAAAUGUUUUUAAACAUAAUUGGAUCCCAAAUACAGAACCUAAAAGCAUUCUUUCUCCGCAAUCAAGCAACAUCAACAUUAAUAUGAAAGUUCAGGACUUGAUAAAUUAGCAGACCCAAACUUGGAAGGUGGAGGAGCUAAAGAAGCUAUUCAGUCAGAAUAUUGUGGACAAAAUUCUCACUAUCAAAAUUGAUACAAGGAAAAAAGACAGCUUGAGAUGGACAUUAACAAGAUGUUGGAAGUUUACAACCAACUCAACAUACAAAGAACUCCAGAAAGAGAAACAAAUAACUCAGAAUAAUUCUAUGAAGAUGUCUGAAAAAGCCUGGUUAAAACUUUGGCACACUCAGAUUCCUCAUAAAGUUCAGCAGUUCAUCUAAAAAUGUUGCCAUAACAUUCUCCCUGUCAAUCAAAAGCUGGGAAGAUUUAUAACAAGCAACAAUAAGAUGUGUCCCAUGUGUAACAAAGAAGAGGAGUCUGCCACUCACCUUUUGUUGAAGUGCCAGUAUGCAAAUGUGAAAUGGUUUGGUGCAACAGAAUAAGGUGCAAGACUGGAUCAGAUGCUGGUUUGAAAACACAAACUCUAUAAAAGCUUAGUAUCCUUUUCUUCUUAAUCUAGCUGCAAUCACCAUGUGGCAUAUCUGGAAAUCUAGAUGUGAAAAGGUUUUUGAGAAUAAGAUGCAUCACCCAAUAAAAAAUCAUAGGAAGGAUAAAAACAAUUGCAUAAAUUAUGGCAUUAGUCUAAGCAUGAGUACUAGGGUUAACAAAAAUCCUCAGCAAGUUUGGGAAAAACCCCCAGUUAACUGGCUAAAAAUGAAUAUAGAUGCUUCUAUGUCUGAUAAUUUUACUAAUGCUGGUUUUUGUAUUAUCCUUCGUGAUCAUACGGGAAAAUUCAUGGGGGCCAUGGGAUACUCAAGCAUAGAUAGAGAUAUACUUCAAGCUGAGAUGAUGGUCCUCUUAAAAGCUCUUCGAUGGAUCCAAGAACAAUGUCUUUCAAAUGUCAUCAUAGAGGGGGACAAUCAAGAGGUAGUUAAUUCAUGUAAUGGUAUUAUCUCAAGCAAGCAGUGGGAAAAUGUUUUACUAGUAGAAGAGUGUCAGUCAGUUCUUAAGAGUCUGAAUAACUGUGUGGUUCAGUUUAGAAAAAGAAUUUGUAAUCAAGUUGCAGACAAACUUGCAAAGUUUGCUAGGUCGAGUCUUAGAUUUCAAGUCUGGUGGGAUGUACCACCAAAUCUGCUUUGUAAUGUCUUAGAGAAGGAUAGUGUUAAGUCUAGUAAGAGUGUUUAGUCUGGGCCUGUGUCUGCCCUGUGUGUCCGAGUCUGUCAUGUUUGUAUCAGUUGGUUUUCUAGAAAUAAAUCUUUCUUUGCUCAAAAAAAAGAAAGAAAAAA